GGCAGUCACCUCUUUGAGCCCUCCAUCUCUAUUGUGGAGUUCAGGACGGCAUGGGCCAGGAUCAUCUAUGCUCGGCGGAUCUUUCAUGCUGAUUAUUUGAUUAUUGAGGGAGACUCAUCUACUAUCAUGACCUGGGUCUAGAGGAGUAUGUGGGGGAUGUCUGCCACCAUUUGUCGUACGACAUUUCGAUGCUGUUGUCAGGCUGCACCAACUUCACCAUUAGGCACAUCUUUUGGAAGGUGAACACAGCAGCAGACGAGGUUGCGACUUUUGUUGUAGAACACUUUGUAAUCUCUAGACCUUUUGAGGACAUUUUAUUUUUUGAUUUUUUUUGAUAUAUUCAUGCUAGAUAGGUAUGAAUGAU
rnacentral:lncRNA from 1 species